rnacentral:rRNA from 1 species
ACGAACGCUGGCGGCGUGCCUCAUACAUGCCAGUUGAGCGCUGAAGGUUGGUACUUGUACCCACUGGAUGAGCAGCGAACGGGUGAGUAACGCGUGGGGAAUCUGCCUUUGAGCGGGGGACAACAUUUGGAAACGAAUGCUAAUACCGCAUAAAAACUUUAAACACAAGUUUUCAGUUUGAAAGAUGCAAUUGCAUCACUCAAAGAUGAUCCCGCGUUGUAUUAGCUAGUUGGUGAGGUAAAGGCUCACCAAGGCGAUGAUACAUAGCCGACCUGAGAGGGUGAUCGGCCACAUUGGGACUGAGACACGGCCCAAACUCCUACGGGAGGCAGCAGUAGGGAAUCUUCGGCAAUGGACGAAAGUCUGACCGAGCAACGCCGCGUGAGUGAAGAAGGUUUUCGGAUCGUAAAACUCUGUUGGUAGAGAAGAACGUUGGUGAGAGUGGAAAGCUCAUCAAGUGACGGUAACUACCCAGAAAGGGACGGCUAACUACGUG